rfam:Drosophila willistoni strain TSC#14030-0811.24 1099000008766, whole genome shotgun sequence.
UGUCCGGAGUUAAUUUUAUGUUAGAAGCGUUAAUUUCAUGCUGCCAUUUAUGGCUUCCGUUUCGCAUGGAUUG